AGAGUUUGAUCAUGGCUCAGGACGAACGCUGGCGGCGUGCUUAACACAUGCAAGUCGAACGGAAAGGCCCUUUCGGGGGUGCUCGAGUGGCGAACGGGUGAGUAACACGUGGGUGAUCUGCCCUGCACUUCGGGAUAAGCUUGGGAAACUGGGUCUAAUACCGGAUAGGACCAUGGGAUGCAUGUCUUGUGGUGGAAAACGUUUAGUGGUGUGGGAUGGGCCCGCGGCCUAUCAGCUUGUUGGUGGGGUGAUGGCCUACCAAGGCGACGACGGGUAGCCGGCCUGAGAGGGUGUCCGGCCACACUGGGACUGAGAUACGGCCCAGACUCCUACGGGAGGCAGCAGUGGGGAAUAUUGCACAAUGGGCGCAAGCCUGAUGCAGCGACGCCGCGUGGGGGAUGACGGCCUUCGGGUUGUAAACCUCUUUCACCAUCGGCGAAGCCGGAGGCUUUUGUUUCUGGUGACGGGUAGGUGGAGAAGAAGCACCGGCCAACUACGUGCCAGCAGCCGCGGUAAUACGUAGGGUGCGAGCGUUGUCCGGAAUUACUGGGCGUAAAGAGCUCGUAGGUGGUUUGUCGCGUUGUUCGUGAAAUUCCCUGGCUUAACUGGGGGCGUGCGGGCGAUACGGGCAGACUGGAGUACUGCAGGGGAGACUGGAAUUCCUGGUGUAGCGGUGGAAUGCGCAGAUAUCAGGAGGAACACCGGUGGCGAAGGCGGGUCUCUGGGCAGUAACUGACGCUGAGGAGCGAAAGCGUGGGGAGCGAACAGGAUUAGAUACCCUGGUAGUCC
rnacentral:rRNA from 1 species